rnacentral:rRNA from 1 species
CCCUUAGAUGUUCUGGGCCGCACGCGCGCUACACUGAAGGGAUCAGCGUGUUUUCCCUUUCCGAGAGGAACGGGUAACCCGCUGAACCCCCUUCGUGGUAGGGAUCGGAGCUUGCAAUUGUUCUCCGUGAACCAGGAAUUCCCAGUAAGCGCAAGUCAUAAGCUUGCGUUGAUUACGUCCCUGCCCUUGUACACACCGCCCGUCGCUACUACCGAUUGAACGUUUUAGUGAGGUAUUUGGACUGGGCCUUGGGAGGUUUCGGCCUCCCUUGUUGCUCGGAAAGACUCCCAAACUUGAGCGUUUAGAGGAAGUAAAAGUCGUAACA